rnacentral:lncRNA from 8 species
CGGUGGACAAAAAUACUGAUUACCAAUUGUUAUGAAAACUUGAAAUCGGCCCUAAUUAAUCGCCCAUUCCGAUUAAUCGGUCGACCUCUAACACCUUCCUUACAUGUUCUUUGUGAUUUCCAUGAUUUGUACAAAAUACUGGUACUAAAUUCUUGCUGUGUAUGAUUCUAACACAAGAUGGCGACAAAUAUAUUGAAAAACGUUUUGCUCUGAAACAUUUAAUUUCAGCUUGCUGAUGACAUGCCAAAUAUAGUUACUGCAGCUGAAAGGGAUCCUGGUCACUUGAACUCAGCACCUGAGUAUAAGUAAGUCAGCUUUCCUGAAUAUUGGUGCGUAGACGUAGACACAGCUCUAUUACUGUAAUUAGACAAUUUCCUAAGCAUCAUCCAUUUUGUGCUUACUCAUAACAUAAGCAGUCCAUGGCCUUUUAUCAAAACUAUGCCUACAUUACACAGCAAACUCAGCAAUAUCCGGCCGACUGUGCCACUGGUUUCCAUUCUACUCCAGUUAGGGGGACCAGAUCGGACACAGACACUUAUUCAAGGGAACCUUUGGGGAAGAUGGACACCUAUAAGCCAACAGAGCCCAGAUGGGAGGCCAGGCUCACACCCUAAAUUGCCCUGGACCCCAAAAUCUGCCUCCUACACUAGACACAGGCACUGACGCGGAGUGUACAGUGCUUUCAUGGACAGAGUAGAGGAGAAGAUCUCCAGCUCUUGAAAAACUGGUUGACACUUUGACCUCCUAAGUCGUCUAUGGAGUCCACAGCUGUGCAGUGAUAUGUGCAUCGGCUCCCCUGAAAUUUCCAGUGUGUUAAGCCAGACAAUAUGUUCUAAUCUGGGUGUGUGAAAGACAUGGCUGAAAUACAAAAUACUUGCAUUCACAGAAAGGAAUCUUGCAGGCUAUAGCCUAAUGAAAAUACUUCAAGGUAUCAUGAAAAUACAACAGUUCAUUGCAAAACAAUUGCCUUUGCCAUGACUCUUUUUGAAAAAUGUCAGUUCUUUUUAUAUAAGCCUAAUAAACCAUUGUGUGUGUAUAAAUCUAUUCUCUCAGACAACAGGCAACAAAGAUAAUGUAAACAAAGUGUGUCAUUACAAUGCCAUUGAAACUCGUUCCUAAAAUGUCGGCCUAUAUGCAAUUAAAGCUCACAAUUGGAGAGCAGCUAAUCUCGGUUAAUCCAGAACAAAAGUCAUGAGUAAUUGGUCAGAUGCUCGAUUAAAUUCUGGGUCCAUACAUGAGGGAGGGAGAAGGGAACAAAGAGCUCCACCCUCUCUCUUUGCAAGUUAGGGGCAAGUCUAUUGGCCAAAUGCUUCCUCCCCUUUCCGAAAUUCUAAAGCACCCGAACUAAUGCUGCUCAUUAUCUGACACUUCCCGUUGUAUCAUGACAAAUUAGUGUACCAUUUAUGUUAACGUAGUCUGUCCACGAGAGAUUAGAGAGCAGCCAAACUAAUUUCGGAACCCGGAACCAAAUUAUUAAAAAUGUUUGUUCAUGUUACUAGCGAUUACAUGCACAUUCCUAUUGCUAAACAUGCCCCACAUUUGUAGGCUAUAUAAAAGUUCACAUUUGAGAAAAAAGUGAUGUACAUUUAGAAGUUGUAGCCUACACAUUGUAUUCCUGACCUGGGGGGUAUAUUACAAAGCAGCAUCAACUUUUAUAAGCAACCAGAAAUAACUUGGUUUUAUGGUUAAUAAAAAUAAAUGGUUUGUUAAAUCAAUUAGACCAUGCCCAUGUCAAGCUCAUCUUUCUACAAAAUAAAAAGUUAUCAGAACAUUUAGACAAGUUAACUGGCUAACUCCGUAAUCCUGUUUUGUAGUAUACCCACAGAGUUUCUAAACCUUGUUAUAAACUGGGUGGUUCGAACCCUGAAUGUCGAUUGGCUGAAAGCCAUAGUACAUCAGACCGUAUACCAUGGGUAUGACAAAAAAUACUUUUCACUGUUGUAAUUACAUUGGUAACCAGUUUAUAAAAGCAAUAAGGCACCUUGUGGUAUAUGGUCAAUAUACCACGGCUAA